rnacentral:rRNA from 1 species
GACGAACCGUGCGAACGUUGUUCGGAAUCACUGGGCUUAAAGGGCGCGUAGGCGGGUUCGCAAGUCAGGGGUGAAAUCUUUCAGCUUAACUGGAAAACAGCCCCUGAUACUGCGAGUCUCGAGGGAGGUAGGGGCAUGUGGAACUUCCGGUGGAGCGGUGAAAUGCGUAGAUAUCGGAAGGAACGCCGGUGGCGAAAGCGGGUUGCUGGGCUGACACUGACGCUGAGGCGCGAAAGCUAGGGGAGCGAACAGG